GGCCCUGUGGUGAAGUUCAUGGUGAGUUGCAAGCUCAUUGAUGUGCGCUGGUCGCGUACCGGGGUCU
rnacentral:tRNA from 1 species